GCAUAUCAAUAAGCGGAGGAAAAGAAACUAACAUGGAUUCCCCCUAGUAACGGCGAGUGAAGCGGGAAGAGCUCAAAUUUGAAAUCUGGCAGUCUUCGAUUGUCCGAGUUGUAAUCUAUAGAGGCGUUUUCCGUGCCGGACCGUGUCCAAGUCUCCUGGAAAGGAGUAUCAAAGAGGGUGAUAAUCCCGUACUUAACACGACCACCGGUGCUCUGUGAUACGUCUUCUACGAGUCGAGUUGUUUGGGAAUGCAGCUCAAAAUGGGUGGUGAAUUCCAUCUAAAGCUAAAUAUUGGCGAGAGACCGAUAGCGAACAAGUACCGUGAGGGAAAGAUGAAAAGCACUUUGGAAAGAGAGUUAAACAGUACGUGAAAUUGUUGAAAGGGAAACGAUUGAAGUCAGUCGUGUUCUUUGGAUUCAGCCAGUUCUGCUGGUCUACUUCCUUUGAACGGGUCAACAUCAGUUUUGUCCGGUGGAUAAAGGCAGUAGGAAUGUAGCUUCUCCGGAAGUGUUAUAGCCUAUUGUCACAUACACUGGGUGAGACUGAGGACUGCAGCUCGCCUUUAUGGCCGACCUUCGGGUACGUUCGAGCUUAGGAUGUUGACAUAAUGGCUUUAAACGACCCGUCUUGAAACACC
rnacentral:rRNA from 1 species